ACGAACGCUGGCGGCGUGCUUAACCCCUGCAAGUCGAACGGAAAGGCCCUGCUUUUGUGGGGUGCUCGGGUGGCGAACGGGUGAGUAACACGUGAGUAACCUGCCCUUGACUUUGGGAUAACUUCAGGAAACUGGGGCUAAUACCGGAUAGGAACUCCUGCUGCCUGGUGGGGGUUGGAAAGUUUCGGCGGUUGGGGAUGGACUCGCGGCUUAUCAGCUUGUUGGUGGGGUAGUGGCUUACCAAGGCUUUGACGGGUAGCCGGCCUGAGAGGGUGACCGGCCACAUUGGGACUGAGAUACGGCCCAGACUCCUACGGGAGGCAGCAGUGGGGAAUAUUGCACAAUGGGCGGAAGCCUGAUGCAGCAACGCCGCGUGCGGGAUGACGGCCUUCGGGUUGUAAACCGCUUUCGCCUGUGACGAAGCGUGAGUGACGGUAAUGGGUAAAGAAGCACCGGCUAACUACGUG
rnacentral:rRNA from 1 species